rnacentral:lncRNA from 1 species
AGACCAGCAAUAACACCAGCAUCCUUAGUUGCCUGCCUCUGGGAAUCAUUGAAGUAAGCAGGAACAGUGACAACAGCAUUCUUAAUAGUUACUCCUAGGUAAGCUUCAGCAAUCUCACGCAUCUUGAUAAGAACCAUGGAAGAAAUUUCUUCAGCUGAAAACUGCUUGUCCUCACCCUUGUACUGCACUACAAUCAUAGGCUUGUCUGCUGGGCCAGAAAUAACCUUAUACGGCCACAUCUUGAUAUCGCUCUGGACAGGGGCAUCAGAGAACCUUCUGCCGAUAAGACGCUUCGCAUCUGCAGAGUUUUACAGGCACUCAGUUAGAAUAAUUAUUUGUAGGUACGCCCAGAAAAAUACUGUACAUGCAGGAAUUAAUCAAGCAUCAUGCAUUUAUCAAUCGUAUUGAACGGAUAUGAAGAACCACAUCUUAAUAACAAGAGCAGGUGAAUAAUUACAUUAUUUACUGCUCAAAAGAAAGAUGCUAAGCUAUAUUAGUCACACAUGUUUUCUUGAGUUGUACGACUAGGAACUCCAAUGAGUUCGAGAUAACUAUCAUAUAUAUGGUUCAUUAGAACCAAGAAGAACAACUGGUUCAUUAGAACUGAGAACUAGCUCUAGUUGAAAAGCACAACCAAGAGGACACUGGCAUGUCAUGUAGAUUCAUUAAGUUUCAGGUUGAACACAUGCAUAACAUAGUGUAUUCAAUUAUAGCUCAAACUUUGUAGGUGGCAAUACAACCCAAAACAAAGUACGGUAACAACCAAAAUCAGAUUGUUGUCAUAAAUGUUGUAUUUGAUUUUUACAAUAUGAAAAAACCAUAAGAUGUAAAUAAACUGACAUGCGGAUAUAAUAAUAAGCAUUAGUGUGUGAAUGUUUCACUUGCAAAACCACUUUACAAGGACAUAAUCUAACUCAGAUUACAGGAUACAAUACCAAUAUAAGUAAUCAAAACAUUAGAUGUUUGAGACGUUGUGAGGCAAAACACAAGGUUAUGAUUAAUACCGUUACAUUUGGCAACUUUUAACAUGCUAAAUGCCAAUUGUUCCACACGCAUCACAUAAUAAAUACAGAAAAGGUAUAUUCCAGAACAACAAGAAGCAAUAACCAAAUUAAUGUUUCUCAAUUCUAGUAGUUACUCAGGAAAAGCAUGUCCAAAAGUAAUUUACUCCGUAGUUUAACUGGUUAUUGCUAGGGCACAUAGCCAACAAAACAAGUGUAUAACCUUACAAAUCAUAUAGAUAGAAUUCUUAAUGGAUUGACAAAUAGGCGAAUACUACAAUCAACCAAGAAUAAGAACUUUUAAACAGGCACUUUUAAACAGACAAUAAAAGCACUUGACUUCAAUUCAGCUGCUUGGGAAAUAACACAACAACAUACGCAUGCACAUGUUUGGUCAAUAAGUGCUAGCAAGCUCUAAUGUUAACAAAUCAUAUUAAUCAAAUUCUCUAGACACCAAUUAGAAACAGAUGAAGCAGACACGAGCAAAGUGUGGUUAGAAACAAAUGGAGCAGACACAAGCUUCUGCCUAUUCUAAGAAAACCUUUAGGCAUGGCCCACAGAUACUGAGUGUCGACCAAAAGAAAUUAGUACACUCCAGCUAUGUAAUUCCAGCAUGGAGUAGACCAUAGCCCCACGCGUCUUCUGACCAUCUAAACAACCACAAUAAAAGGGGCAGCUAGACACUACAAGGGACAGCUGGGCACGAGCUUAAAUAGAUCUAGGAAACCACUACGACCCCGCGAUAUCACGGAUCUGACCAGUCACCUGCAGGCCAAAAUAUGCGGCCAAUAACGCCAUAUUGCCCAUAAAUCAUGGGAGACCACCAAAAGCAUAUAAAAAUCUAGCACAGAUACGACCACAACCACACCCGCCCACUUUACGACCGUGCCAAAACGACUAUCCCAAACAUAUCCAACAGAUCUAACAAAAGCAAAGCAUAGAAUCUCAUAAGCAGAGACGGGCCACACAGAUCCAUACACACAUCUGAGCUCGCAUCAGAAAUUAACAGUAGCAGGUUAAGGGGAUGCUCACCGAAGACCGUGUUGAUGGGGUUCAUGGCGACCUGGUUCUUGGCGGCAUCUCCGAUGAGGCGCUCGGUGUCGGUGAAGCCGACGUACGAGGGCGUGGUGCGGUUGCCCUGGUCGUUGGCGAUGAUCUCGACGCGGUCGUGCUGCCACACGCCGACGCACGAGUAGGUCGUGCCGAGGUCGAUGCCGAUGGCCGGGCCCUCUCCCUUGGUCGGCGCCAUGGUGGUAUAGUCUAGAUCUCCGGGGCCGCUAAGCUAGGGUUAGGGUUUUCUAUUUCGGCGGCUGCGCAGCAGGGAGGCGGCUGCUGCUGCGGAGUCUGGAGAGGAGGAAGAAGGGAGGCCGGCAAGAGGAUAUUUAUACAGGGAACGCUUUGCUUGCUUGGUCUCCUCCUCUUGUCUCGUGCUCCGAACUGGCGCUGCCGUGGCCCAUUCAGAGCCCAGUUCGUAUCCGGUGGGCCCCUGGUGGCAGAGUUCACAAGGUAGUAGUGCUAGGAAGUAGAGUACGUCAUGGUUCUUUAGGUCGGUCUCCCUGUUCGCGGGCCCGUUUGGUGGACGACUUGGCGGGUCCCAGCUGCAGUUGCACGUGGGUGGGUGUCGCGGGAGAGCGGGAUUGGAGGUGUUGGGAGCCGUGUGGUUAUUAAUGGAAAGCCUCUUUGGUCGGGAGUGGGUGCCAUGAUCUAUGGAGGACUUUUCCGCGCUCGGGCGUCGUUCGAUCUUCAUCGGAGGGUUCCGGACUGAAGUAGUUUUUGCCCGUCCGAUGUGAUAUUUUGGCAAGCUAAUAUGGUCAAAGUUUAUCCUAUCAAACUUGUUUUGGUAGUGGCUAAUUUUUUGGGAAGCUAAUAUGUCAUUGACAACUCUAAUUCAUUUCUCUCGCCAAUUAUGGUGAACUCAUGGGCUACCAGGUGGUGACUAUGGUGUGGGCAAUACUCGCACAGAAGUCGAUGUUGUUGUUGGAACGUCUUAUGCUGAUGAGGAACAGACGGCGGCAAUGAGCACAAGUCACACAAGGAGAAGGAUGGCACCGGGGAAAGAGUCCAACUAUGAGCUCAAGCUAAGAGCGGUUCGGUGGUGUUAGGAUUCGCCUUUGAGGAGAGAAAAUGGAAGGGACAUGAGAAAGGAGAGAGGUCGGGCUUGAUGCGUUCUUUGGCACAUGUUGUGGUAGUAUGAACAAAAGCAUUUGGCGCAUGAAUAUGUGCAUCUCGGUGCACGACCAAAUACGGAGCACCGGGUUUCACAAAUUCGCAUCACAUCUCUUUCCAGUCUCCACUUUGCCGUUUUAGAUCCGUAGAAUUCAGAUGUUCGGGGCUAUAUUAUUGGAUCUUAAUGUCCUCAUCUACAAUUGCAAACUUUUGUACUCCUAUAUCACCAUUACAAUAAACGACAAUAUGAUUGUUCUAAAAAAUGCUUGUGUAAGAAAACAUGUGCUAAUGAGAGUUAAUAUCUCUGCCAUGGGAACAACAAUUCAAGUCAACGAUCUCACCACCGAAUGCGAGGCCAACAUUACUAUCUAGG